UACGGGGGGAGCAAGCGUUGUUCGGAUUUACUGGGCGUAAAGGGCGCGUAGGCGGCCAGCGCAAGUCAGUUGUGAAAUCUCCGAGCUUAACUCGGAAAGUCCAGCUGAUACUGCGCGGCUAGAGUGCAGAAGGGGCAACUGGAAUUCUCGGUGUAGCGGUGAAAUGCGUAGAUAUCGGGAGGAACACCUGCGGCGAAGGCGGGUUGCUGGGCUGACACUGACGCUGAGGAGCGAAAGCGAGGGGAGCGAACGGG
rnacentral:rRNA from 1 species